rnacentral:lncRNA from 1 species
CACAUUUCAUCAAAAGAAAAAAAAUAACACAAAAAAGUUCAAACAGUAUAAACUUUUCACCGAUUUGAUAAAGGAACAACAACAACAAUGGGCUCAACUUGGCUUGAAAGAGUGGGGAUACUCGUAUCGACUUCAACAAUUUCAGAAGUUUCAGCCACGGAAGGAGAAAAACACUUGAUUUUGUUGAGUCUUCUCAAUAGUCUCUUUAAUCUUGGCCAACUCAGAUUCCAAGUCAAAAUUCUCCUGGGUAGUUUCAACGAGGGUAUCAUGAAGAGAAUUUAAGAACGCCCAACUUACUUUAAUGGAAGAUUUAUCUUCAAGAAUCUCAUAGUCACUUUC